CGGGCCUUAGUGGCGGACGGGUGAGUAACGCGUGGGGAACCUGCCCCGUACCGGGGGAUAACACCUGGAAACAGGUGCUAAUACCGCAUAACAGAAGGGGACGCAUGUUCCUUUUUUGAAAACUCCGGUGGUACGGGAUGGACCCGCGUCUGAUUAGCUGGUUGGCGGGGUAACGGCCCACCAAGGCGACGAUCAGUAGCCGGCCUGAGAGGGCGGACGGCCACAUUGGGACUGAGACACGGCCCAAACUCCUACGGGAGGCAGCAGUGGGGAAUAUUGCACAAUGGGGGAAACCCUGAUGCAGCGACGCCGCGUGAGUGAAGAAGCGUUUCGGCGCGUAAAGCUCUGUCAGCGGGGAAGAAACACGGUUCGCGAGAGCCGCGGACGGUACCCGACCAAGAAGCCCCGGCUAACUACGUGCCAGCAGCCGCGGUAAUACGUAGGGGGCAAGCGUUAUCCGGAUUCACUGGGUGUAAAGGGAGCGUAGACGGCGAGACAAGUCUGGAGUGAAAGGCCGGGGCCCAACCCCGGGACUGCUCUGGAAACUGCCUGGCUGGAGUACAGGAGAGGUAAGUGGAAUUCCUAGUGUAGCGGUGAAAUGCGU
rnacentral:rRNA from 1 species